rnacentral:tRNA from 1 species
GCCCUGGUGGUCUUGUGGUUAAGGUUCGGCGCUGUCACCGCCAUGACCUGGGUUCACUUCCUGGUCAGGGAA